CCGACCGGGGUCUAUUUUUUUUUGAAACCCAGAGGUGCAACGAAAGUGAAGGAUCCCUUUUUACGAAAGGUCCGAGGAAAGAUACCGAUUUCGGUGGGUAGCAUUUCCGUUCUGCCGUAAUCGGAGCAAUCGCGAUGCGGUGGAAAAAGAGCGCACACGUUGGGACCCGAAAGAUGGUGAACUAUGCCUGGGCAGGAUGAAGCCAGAGGAAACUCUGGUGGAGGUCCGAAGCGAUUCUGACGUGCAAAUCGAUCGUCAAACCUGGGUAUAGGGGCGAAAGACUAAUCGAACCAUCUAGUAGCUGGUUCUCUCCGAAGUUUCCCUCAGGAUAGCUGGCGUUCGGAAAUAAAACAGUUUUAUCCGGUAAAGCGAAUGAUUAGAGGUCUCGGGGAC
rnacentral:rRNA from 1 species